rnacentral:rRNA from 1 species
GAUGAACGCUGGCGGCGUGCCUAAUACAUGCAAGUCGAGCGAAAAGACGCGUUGCUUGCUACACGAACGUUGGCCGCGGACGUGUCACUAACGUGUCGUUCACCCACCUAUGAGACUGGGCUAACUUCCUGAAGCCGAAACUAAUACCGGGUAAUUUCUUCAACCGCAUGGUUCGAUAGUUCAAGCCGGUUUUGCUGUCCCUUCUGGCUGGAUCCGCGCCGCUUGAGCUAGUUGGUAAGGUAACGGCUUACCAAGGCCACGAUGCGUAGCCGACCUGAGAGGGGGAACGGCCACACUGAAACUGAGAGACGGUCCAGACUCCGACGGGAGGCAGAAGUAGGGAAUCGUCCGCAAUGGGCGGAAGCCUGACGGAGCAACGCCGCGUUAGUGAUGAAGGUCUGCGGAUCGUAAAACUCUGUUAUUAGUGAAGAACAAAUGUGGAAGUAACUAUGCACGUCUUGACGGUACCUAAUCAGAAAGCCACGGCUAACUACGUG